AUGCAGUUAUUUCACGUCAAAAAAUGUAUUUCUUUUGUUUGUGUGAUAAUUACUAGUGCAACACACAUACACUGGUCAAAAACUUAUUUUACCCAUGUGAUCUCCCAUGACAAUGCUCUGUACCUGCCCAAUUCUACCAGAAGUAGCCUGUGGCGGGCUAGUGACCUCAUGCACAGUAGAUCGUUGAGAUGCACUACACUCGCUCGCUUGCUUGCUUGGAUGCCCUACGAGCAGAGGAAAUCUUCUUUCAAGCACGCUCCAAUUGGUAUACAAGGAAAUGGAAGAGAUGGAUCAGAAAUGAAUGAUGGGAUGUGA
rnacentral:rRNA from 1 species